ensembl:lncRNA
GAGGGAGGAAUUUCAGUGAACGAGAAAUAUGAGUCAAUGGUUUACAUGAACGAAAACGAUUCGUUCACCUAAAAGAUUCGUUCAAAAAGAACGAUUCGUUCACGAACGACACAUCACUAAUGCGCAGAAACCACGCGACAAAGAAGGGCAUGACAACUGCUUUGUUAAUUGGAAUAGGCUUCUCGCUAUGUGUGCAGCGAGGGUGGUGAAAAGACUGAGAUAUAAGAUGACACGUGUCACUGAAUGGCACAAGCUCCAGCACCACCCAUCUCCAAUGAUCACCUGAGACAAGAAAACACUAAAAGAUCCAAACGAAGAGGAUGAAUGUACAACGCACUUUCAUCCCCCCAUUCUGUACAAGAGGGCAACAGGGUCUGGAGAAGAGAGGCUAUUACCUGUACGUGGUGCAUCCGACAUCACGGACACCGAUGUUCUUCUUCCAUUCAUCUGGAGUGGCUCACUUUCCAUAGCAAUUACUGGCCGUGA